rnacentral:pre_miRNA from 1 species
GAAGUACUCCCUCCGUUCAGAAUUACUUGUCGCACAAAUGGAUGUAUCUAGAUGUAUUUUAGUUCUAGAUACAUCUAUUUUCGAGACAAGUAAUUCGGAACGGAGGGAGUAUGAC